rnacentral:rRNA from 1 species
GCAAGUCGAAUGCAUUAGUUGCAUGGCAGACGAGGUAGUAACACGUAGGUACGUACCCCAAAGUCAGGCAUAAUCGGUCGAAAGAUCGGAUAAUUCCUGAUGGUCCCGCAAGGGUAAAGAUUUAUCGCUUUGGGAGCGGCCUGCGUAGUAUCAGCUUGUUGGUAAGGUAAAAGCUUACCAAGGCUAUGACGCUUAGGGGGGGUGAGAGCCUGACC